rnacentral:lncRNA from 1 species
CCCAGUUUUUCUACUGGUGAACCUGCAUAGUAAUGUAAUUCAGUCUAAGCAAUGAAGCAUCGAGGUUCAGUCAUUGACCGAUGGCAACGCGCACGGAAAAGGUGGCGGGUCUUACCACCAGCUUUCAAUGAACUUUUCUAACCUUUCUCGAAUCAAACGACUUCUUGAAGCUAUCCAUGUCUAGACGCCGCAACAAACAGCGACGAAAUCUGGCUCCAGAUGAACUUGAUCGAGUAUACCCACUGGGUUUAGAGGAUUCCAUACAUCUGUAAUGUCAAUCGUCAGCGUCUACCAGAGAACGAACCUUUGGCAUCGCCCUCCUAAAUUAAUAGCUCGGUAUAAUUUUGCCGAUGCAAAUUCGAUUAUGAAAUCGAAAAAAGAUCGCAGGAUAUUUGGUCGCUUGAAAUGUGUUAUUAUUCGCUAGAGAAAAGCACACAAAGGAGGUCCAAAAAAGGUAUCUUCGAAAAGUCGACGUCCGGCUCUGAGGACCAGUAUCGGCCUAGCUUGGAAGUGCAUAAGAUCAGAAUCGGAAAUCGAAUAACAUGCACUCUGAGAACUAUUAUGGAGAAUGGUGCGAUAUUUCGGCACUCUAUUGGCGUUCAAGACAAGCGACCGAUACGACACUGAAUGUUUUCUUCUCCAGCGAUUAGUCGAGUUAUCGAUUACAUUGAAAACGCCGAACGGAAGAUCGUAACUUUGAAAUAAAGUUGCUCAAGUUGACGUAGCAGGUGGAACAGCCUAUAAGCUUUCAUGGGCCUUUCACCAGGACUUCAGGACCUGCUAAUUCUUUCUCCAACCUCAGUAUCAUCGAUAUUACUUUUAUUCGGCCUCAACCAUACGGUUGAUCACCUAGACCCUUUAGGGCGAUAGCUACUAGGAAACGAGGUGAUUAUAAGCGUCUGUCAUUCGCGACAGACCGGCGGAAUAACUCAUUGCAGCUAGAAGAAAAAAUCGUUUUGAUUGAAGCAUUGCUUAAAGCGUGGAACGUACGUCUUUACAGAAAGUUGUUUACGACAAUGAGGUCGGCUUCAUGAUGCCGUGAUUGUUGCUGAUAUAUAUUUUGGCAGUGAUUCUACCUGUGUAACAAAUACUUGCUGUACAGUAAGAACUACAGACAUUGAUCAGUGUCAAGAUGCGUGCAGGAAGUACAAACAAUGGUAUAUUAUUUAAGUAUAUGGAGCCUAGACAAGCAAAUAAGAGUGGGAAUAAGCCGCGGUAACUCAGUGGUUGGCACCAUUCGUUGGCAGCGGUGAUAUUGCCCUACGGCGGUGAUACUCACGUCCUUCCCGGAGUCCAGCGUUGUGAGCACCUUCCCUCAGGAAGAUUUAACAUGGAGUGUAAACGAUUCAUCGGCGACCCCGUUUAUACUACUGACCCCGGGGCGGAGUCCAAGUUUCGGGCGCCUUGCCCCAAAAUGACCCCGCUCCUCGCAGUUAGAGCACGUGCAGGCGUUUGUCGACCUAGUUAUCAUGCCGGGAGGUGCGAUAACUUCGAGAAGGUGCGCCUGGACUUCACGGACUAUUUGAGAGCCUUGGGCUGCACGGCUUCCUAGGUUUUGGUGACGGUCGACUAUUGUGCUCGUUUCAACCAAUUCGUGCUCAUGAAGGGCCACGCCUGGACCUGUAGUUGGAGCACGAGAAGUUUCGCUAUGUUCCUUCGAAGGCCUCGAAACCUUCGUGACUACAAAUCGACCUGUUUCACAUCGCGAAAAGUAACUACCUCAGAUGAAGCUACAUUGGGCAUAUCCAAUGCUACGGUGUAGUUUAAUGUAUAGAUCAGGUGGUUACGGAAAAACUAGGCCCCUGAAAGCCGAAGGGCACAGUUCGCUCUACAAAAUGCUAGCACAAAUGCGUUUUUGUUUAACAAGUCCAUGAGCCACGACUUGCGCAGACAUCGCUGAACUGCUUUUCACCUACCAAGCCCUACUGCCCAAAAAGUUUGCCGGUCGUAAGGAUGCAAAGGGCCUAUGUGCUGUGGUAUUGUACCUGUGCGCGCACCAUCAGCUCUGGGAUUAGCAACAGAAAGCAGAAAGGGGCACGAGCAGAAGAAGUCCGGGGACGGUGCCAACGUGUUGCUGCAGCGUUUAUAUAGGACGUUGCUAUUUUACUGCCAUGGGGCUUUUGCUAUAAUGAGUAAACUGGCAACACAAUUAUAGCGUCGCUACUCCUCCGGAACGCUAACUCACUGUGAAAGCAAGGCAAAAAACCAGGACAAGCAAGGUUUUACUUCCUCUACUUAGCAGCUUGGAUGUGUUUAAGUAUAAUUUUUUGUACGAGCUAUAGCCGGAAAGAUGUUACCAAAUCAUAUUAAAUAAGUGAGAUAACUUCUAGUUUCUCAAAAAAGCAAAAAGGGAAAUUCAGUACUCUUAGUGAUUAAAUGGAAAACGUUCACACGAGUGUUUAAAUUAGUUAGCGUUGGCAUUACGCCACUGAUAUCUAACGCAGAAUUAUUAGUUUUUUUAACUAACGAAGGCCAUUUAAGGAUGCACCACCCAGGGGAACCUGAGGCAAUGCAGAUUUCUCAGUCGCUUUGAAGCCUAAGCCCAGUCUGGCAGACACUCAUGGAACGGCUCGCGAGAGUUUAACGAUAUCGAGAUAGGUUGAACAAAGACCCUCGGGGCGUUCUGGGUGCGCUUUGAAGUGCAUUCGGCCCCGCCUUAAUUUUUCGGUGUCACUGGCAGGGAAGCCUGUAGUAUUCGACAGGGUUAAGAAGCACAUAUAUCACUUCACGAGCCAGGGUUAUUCGAAAUCAAUAACGCUACAGAAGAUAUAGAGCCGGUCAGUGACAUAGUGCGUCGCUAUCAAAAUCAUAUUUUUUUGAUGUGGGUUGCUCGGGUAUGUUAUUAGUCUUAGGUUUGUUAUUAGGGCUUAUUCCAAGGCAACGAUCAAAUUGUUCAACGUGAAUUGUUUACUCAACAAAAUCGACUACAUACAAAUUUACUUAGAGAUGUUUGCCGGAAGAAACGACAAUUUAAAACCCACGUGAAAAUCGUUUUCUUCUAAAACCAACGUGUCGGCCGAAGACGUGUGCCUCUAUUUAAAUAAGAAAACUAUUUCGAAGUAAAAAAAAAUGCAUAAAACGUAAGAACGAAGUGCAAACUUGUGCAGGUACAGGCUGGGCAGUGCGACAAAUAGAGUGUAAGGCAUAAGUAUUUUACUUAAAUUCAUAUCUGGAAAAUUUUCAUUAGCCGUUCUCGAUUGAGGACUGUUUCUUAAUCGAGCUAGUCUUGAAAACAAUCUCACAAUACGAUCGAUAUGUUAUAGAACAGCUUUGAAAGCUAAAUCGUCGCAUCAUGGAACUAAAUCCGACAUCGGCUAGUUGUGAAGCCUGCGCUCGAAGCGUACCAAAAAAAGCGAUUAUUAAAUAGAUCUUUCACUCUUUUUUUGAAGCUCUUAUCCUCGUUGGAGUGAAUUCACAUUGUUCAAUAACUGCCGCAAUGAAAGCGAAUAUUUGGCGGGGGCCUUACGCAGUUACGCAAGAGCCUAAAUUGGUUUCCUUCAUGGCUCGCGACUAGAGGCCGUGUUACAUGCUGUCUGUAUUUAUUUAUUCAAUCGCGAAUCUAGUCGAGAUGGGCUCUGAAAACAAAUACGUCCGACCCAUUGUAUGUUUAUUGCAUACAGUUAUAAUGACUGUUUAUGCAGACGAUAAAGUAAUAACAUGUUUUAAACAGUUUGGCGGUAUAAUUGAGAACCUGAGUAACUGCAAUUCGUCAAUAAACAGAGCUGAGUUAAUUUCAAAAUAGUGUUCUUAGUAACAGACACGCAUAGGCAGGAGGGGCGUGUUUCUUAACUUUUUUCGGUAUGAAGCACAAGCGUGUACGUGCCGUAGGGCGAUGUGAGAGAUGUUAGCUACUACGUACGUCGUAAUAAAACCUAUUUUUUUGCCGUGCUAAGAGUUUGUCUUGUUAUAUUCAGAUGAUUAUUUAGAUGCAUGGGCAUGUGACACACAUUGCGGCCAACUAAAUACGGCUAUUAGGUA